rnacentral:rRNA from 1 species
UACGAAGGGGGCUAGCGUUGCUCGGAAUGACUGGGCGUAAAGGGCGCGUAGGCGGAUGGUACAGUCAGAUGUGAAAUUCCCGGGCUUAACCUGGGGGCUGCAUUUGAUACGUGCGAUCUGGAGUGAGGAAGAGGGUCGUGGAAUUCCCAGUGUAGAGGUGAAAUUCGUAGAUAAUUGGGAAGAACACCGGUGGCGAAGGCGGCGACCUGGUCCUUGACUGACGCUGAGGCGCGAAAGCGUGGGGA